GGGAAUCUGCCCUUGGGUCUGGGAUAACAGUUGGAAACGACUGCUAAUACCGGAUGAUAUCGCGAGAUCAAAGAUUUAUCGCCCGAGGAUGAGCCCGCGUAGGAUUAGCUAGUUGGUGGGGUAAAGGCCUACCAAGGCGACGAUCCUUAGCUGGUCUGAGAGGAUGAUCAGCCACACUGGGACUGAGACACGGCCCAGACUCCUACGGGAGGCAGCAGUGGGGAAUAUUGGACAAUGGGCGAAAGCCUGAUCCAGCGAUGCCGCGUGAGUGAUGAAGGCCUUAGGGUUGUAAAGCUCUUUUACCCGGGAUGAUAAUGACAGUACCGGGAGAAUAAGCCCCGGCUAACUCCGUGCCAGCAGCCGCGGUAAUACGGAGGGGGCUAGCGUUGUUCGGAAUUACUGGGCGUAAAGCGCACGUAGGCGGCUUUGUAAGUCAGGGGUGAAAGCCUGGAGCUCAACUCCAGAACUGCCUUUGAGACUGCAUCGCUUGAAUCCGGGAGAGGUAGGUGGAAUUCCGAGU
rnacentral:rRNA from 1 species